UCUUGCAGAUGGAGCUGCUCACCCUGUGGGCCUCAAAUGUGGAGCACUAUUCUGAUGUCCAAGUGGAAAGUGCUGCGACAUUUGAGCGUCACCGGUGACGCCCAUAUCAACGGAUGCCG
rnacentral:precursor_RNA from 1 species